UCCCAGUCCGAUAGCGAACAAGUAGAGUGAUCGAAAGAUGAAAAGCACUUUGAAAAGAGAGUUAUAAAGCACGUGAAAUUGUUGAAAGGGAAGUGCUUGCGACCAGACUCGCCUCCAGGGUUCAGCCGGCAUUCGUGCCGGUGUACUUCCCUGGGGGCGGGCCAGGGUCGGUUUGGGCGGCCGGUCAAAGGCUCCCGGAAUGUAGUGCCCUUCGGGGCACGUUAUAGCCGGGAGUGCAAUGCGUUCCAGCCUGACCGAGGAACGCGUU
rnacentral:rRNA from 1 species